rnacentral:lncRNA from 1 species
ACAGUUCUGGAGGCUGGAAGUCCAAGAUCAAGGUGCUAUCAGGGUUGGUUUCGGCUGUGGCCUCUCUUCCUGGCUUGUAGACAGCUAUCUUCUCGCAGUGUCCUCACGUGGCCUCUUUGUGUGAAGGUACGAUGGAAGCUGCUAAAGAAUGUGCUUGACUAAAACAAGGCAAUAAGCAAAAGGAAGUCAUAGCAUCCAGAAAAUGGGAUCCAUCAUGCGCACAAAGAAAAGGUGAAGAAAAUUUCCAGGAUGUUCAGAACCCACCAAAAACGAAAGAUUCUGGUCCAGAUCAGAAGAGAGGGAAACACUCUGAAAAAGUCCCUCAAAUACAAAAUUAAACAGAGUUUAAAUGAUGUGCUUGACCACAAUAAAAGGCUUCUUGCUCUGUAAGAUUUCUGGAAUUAAUUAGUGAUAAGCAAAGAUAAAUAUAAGCAAAUCAUCACAACAGAGUGAACACAUUCCAGUAGACCACAUGGAUGAGCUUUGGAAAAUACAGAUAUACGCAUAAUGUAAUCCCUUAAUUUCUGGGAGGCUGGAGGGAGGGAAAGUUUGAGAAGGUAAAAUGUGUGUGUUAAGAGUGGGAGUGGGUAAUAUGGUUAGGCUUUGUGUUCCCACACAAAUCUCAUCUGGAAUUGUAAUCCCCAUAAUCCCCACUUAUCAAGGGAGAAACCAGGUGGAGAUAACUGAAUCAUUGGAGGCAGUUUCCCCCAUGCUAUUCCUCUGAUAGUGAAUUCUCAUGAGAUCCAAUGAUUUUAUAACGGACUCUUCCCCCUUCACUCAGC